rnacentral:misc_RNA from 1 species
GUAAGAACGUAGCGAAAUGCGAUACUUGGUGUGAAUUGCAGAAUCCCGUGAACCAUCGAGUCUUUGAACGCAAGUUGCGCCCGAAGCCGUCAGGCCGAGGGCACGCCUGCCUGGGCGUCACACGCCGUUGCCCCCCCGCGCCCCGCACCCAACGCUUUGGGAGCGACCGCGGGGCGGGCUGAUGAUGGCCUCCCGUGCGCUCCGCCGCGCGGUUGGCCCAAAUACCGAGUCCCCGGCGACGUGCGCCACGACGAUCGGUGGUUGAGAGACCUCUGUCGCAAGUCGUGCGCGCCCGUCGCGUCACGCGGGCUCGCAUAGCGCCUCGCGCCGCACCCGGUGCGGAGCUUUCAACGCGACCCCAGGUCAGGCGGGGUUACCCGCUGAAUUUAAGCAUAUCAAUAAGCGGAGA